rnacentral:lncRNA from 1 species
CUCCAUUCUGUUCUGAUGAUGAUACACAGUGCCUGCCUGUGUAACGUUAGUGUUUUAGGAUUUAAAGGGAAGAGAUUAGGUGUACAGCAUAUGCAGGCCUAAUCAACAGAAACAUACCAUAAUUAGACCUUAUGUAUUUUAUACUACCUGGCGUUUUACAUUAUUAUUAUCUGGCCAAUUCCACAGUUAAGUGGUCUUGAGCAUGCCCGAUUACCUGGUCACUGAUUACAAUUUGACAGGUGAUUGAUGUUGCUUUUCUAUGCUAACCUAACAAAUUAAAUGAAGUGAGUUUUUAUAUUGUAGAUGAAACGGCUUUAUUGACCCUCUGCUAAGCCUUCGCUCACAGAUACAAUCUGACUUCUUGCCAAAUACUAUUUUUGGCCAAUGUUUUUCUUUCGGGAGUUACCCUAUACAAAAGAUUCCACCACCCCAGGACCAAGCAGCGUGCUCAGGAGGAGCAAGGAUCCUGGGCCUGGGAGGAAAGCCAGGAGUGGAGGACAUCCUGGGCUUGGGCCGAAAUAAUGUCAGGAGACAAAAGCCUGCCAUGGAAGCAGGCGGAAGCAGCGAAGGAGGAAAGGCGAUGACAUCGGGGCUCGCGGCCACAACGUAGGAAGCCCGAGAAGCAGCCUCAAAAAAAAAUGGGGGGGCACACGGGGUGGUCGGCGGUGCCGAGGUGUGUGCUGAGGUGUGAACCAGAGCCAGUCCACACGGGGUGGAAAUAAGCUUUUAGCCCUACAAAGCUGUACGUUUCGUUGGUUAAUCUUUAUUGUUUUGUUGCCGGUUAUCAUAAAUAAAAAU